GACGAACGCUGGCGGCGUGCCUAAUACAUGCAAGUCGAACGCUUCUUUCCUCCCGAGUGCUUGCACUCAAUUGGAAAGAGGAGUGGCGGACGGGUGAGUAACACGUGGGUAACCUACCCAUCAGAGGGGGAUAACACUUGGAAACAGGUGCUAAUACCGCAUAACAGUUUAUGCCGCAUGGCAUAAGAGUGAAAGGCGCUUUCGGGUGUCGCUGAUGGAUGGACCCGCGGUGCAUUAGCUAGUUGGUGAGGUAACGGCUCACCAAGGCCACGAUGCAUAGCCGACCGGAGAGGGUGAUCGGCCACACUGGGACUGAGACACGGCCCAGACUCCUACGGGAGGCAGCAGUAGGGAAUCUUCGGCAAUGGACGAAAGUCUUACCGAGCAACGCCGCGUGAGUGAAGAAGGUUUUCGGAUCGUAAAACUCUGUUGUUAGAGAAGAACAAGGACGUUAGUAACUGAACGUCCCCUGACGGUAUCUAACCAGAAAGCCACGGCUAACUACGUG
rnacentral:rRNA from 1 species